GUAGCGGGAUCCUCCGCCUGAUGGGUGGAAGCUUCACGUCCCAAGGGGCCGGGGCCGCCGUUACCAGCACAAGCCGAUACGAGUUCAGAGGUGACUGAUAUUGGCUACGUUCCGUAAAGGUGGGAAGACCCACCAGGCCGUGCUUCACCAGCGGCCUGCUCUGGAAUCCGAAUCAGUAGACACCCCCGGGAUCAGGGACGAAACGGGGUUCGGAGGCCACUCCACGGCAGCCGUUGCGGGACAUGUGCGAGGUGAGACCGGAGCCGCCGCACCUGGCGG
rnacentral:sRNA from 1 species